UGCGAUCAUACCAGCACUAAUGCACCGGAUCCCAUCAGAACUCCGCAGUUAAGCGUGCUUGGGCGAGAGUAGUACUAGGAUGGGUGACCCCCUGGGAAGUCCUCG
rnacentral:rRNA from 1 species